rnacentral:rRNA from 1 species
CCUACGGGAGGCAGCAGUGGGGGAUAUUGCACAAUGGGGGGAACCCUGAUGCAGCGACGCCGCGUGGGUGAAGGAGCGUUUCGGCGCGUAAAGCCCUAUCGGCAGGGAAGAAGAAGGACGGUAUCUUACUCAGAAGCGCCGGCUAACUACGUGCCAGCAGCCGCGGUAAUACGUAGGGGGCAAGCGUUAGCCGGAAUUACUGGGUGUAAAGGGGGCGCAGACGGCGGCGCAAGCCAGGAGUGAAAGCCCGGGGCUCAACCCCGGGACUGCCCUUGGAACUGGGCGGCUGGAGUGCAGGAGGGGCAGGUGGAAUUCCUGGUGUAGCGGUGAAAUGCGUAGAGAUCAGGAGGAACACCGGUGGCGAAGGCGGCCUGCUGGACUGCGACUGACGUUGAGGCCCGAAAGCGUGGGGAGCAAACAGGAUUAGAUACCCUUGUAGUC